ensembl:miRNA Mir18b microRNA 18b
UCUCUUGUGUUAAGGUGCAUCUAGUGCAGUUAGUGAAGUAGCUUAGACUCUAUUGCCCUAGAUGCCCCUUCUCACACAGGCUA